CUUUUGUCCAGUCUAAAGUCCUAGAAACAGUACCAGACCAGUGUCAAGGAAGAUCCAUGACAUACAGGCAACAUGAACACUGGGAGGGACCAAGACUUGAGAAUGGGCUGAUUCGAAGUGUGAAGCUGGAAUAAGCCAGGUGAGCCUGGUAAACCUUGUGGUUCCAGUAACCAAAGAAUCUAUGCAAGCUGAUAGGGCUGUGUCAGAAUGGUUCCCCAGGAGCUGAUUUGAAGGAACUUCUACUGAUGCAAGGUAAUUUGAGCAUAAAAAAAAAAAAUAGUGGCUACAAUUGAUUGACUCAUUGAAAAUAUUUAAAAAGUCUUAUGCGUUCACAAUGAUACAGAUAUAAUAUGAAAACAGGUAGAAAAUCACUAAAUAAAAACAAAAGCAAAUACAUUGGUAGCCACUGCAGCAAAGCAGAACACCAACUGCUUAAAAAUUAGUAGAUUAAAGGGAAAGAGUGAUUUAUGUUUUUUUUUUUUUUAAAGAUCACUGUGGCCUCUGUGUGCGGAGUAGGUGGACUACACACUGCCAGCGAUGUGUAGAUGAAAGAGCAGCGCCUGGCCUCCUAGAGCUCACGUCUCCAGUGGGGAUGGCUGCCCUGGAUCAGCUGCUUCAGAUUUUCGUCUCUCCAAAUAUGAUGGUGUACAAACUGGUGUGGGGCCCUGGCUAUCCACAGUCUUCUCAGGAGUGUUAGCAGUACCUGAAGUCUUUUUUUUCUUCUUCUUAGGUAUGCCAGAAGUUUUCUUCUUCUUUGAAGGUACAUUUACCACCUGGCCAUUUGUAGAUUUCUGAAGAUCAGUGCUUCCAACAUUUUUCCCUUUCUGUAAAAUCAAUGAGGGAAAAUCAUAAUCAAGAAUUGACAUUUUUUCAAUAAAUGCGUGGUAAUAUUCA
rnacentral:lncRNA from 1 species